rnacentral:tRNA from 1 species
GAGUUUGUAGCACAAUUGGAUAGUGGCAUUUGACUUCGAAUCAAAAGGUUAGAGGUUCAAGUCCUCUCGAACUCA